UUGAAAGGGAAACGAUUGAAGUCAGUCGUACCAGCGGGAAAUCAACCUUUCGAGUGGGGGGUUUUGGAGUUUUGAAGAGUGUCAAAACCUUUGAGAUUUCAAAAUAUUCGCUCUUUUGGUGUACUUUCUCGUGGGUAGGUUAACAUCGAUUUUGAUCAUCAUAAAAAGAUUGGAGGAAUGUAGCUUCGAUCUUGUAUUGAAGUGUUAUAGCCUUUGGUAAAUGUGAUGAUUAGGAUCGAGGAUUGCAACGAAUACCCUUUUGGGCUAUCCGCCUGAUCUCUGAUACGUGGCCUUGGUAUCGAAAGCGUGCUUAUGGUAUUGAGGUAUUACGGUCAAAAGGUUAGAACGGAUUACAUUCGUUAAGGAUGUUGACGUA
rnacentral:rRNA from 1 species